rnacentral:lncRNA from 1 species
CAAGGUUUAUAAUCUCUAAAUGUACAUUUGCAUUAACAUUAUUUACAAACAAAUUAUGCAAUGAACGACCCAACCUCUAGUAGCAGAGUGACUCGGAAGAAGGUGCUAUGAGAUGCCUUUACCUAUCUACGGUGGACAAUAUGUGCUGAUGAAUGCACGCUAUGCCGAUCACUAUCUGCAAAAAGGGGGUGAGUCUCACAGACUUAGUGAUCAUCAGCUCCGUGAGCAGGGUGUACAUGGGAAACAAGCUUAGGGCAGAACUUUUUGAAUAACAAAACCAGAGUAUAAAAUGAUAACCUUAUAAAACCAAACAACAAAUAAGGUGCUUGUGCCUUGUAAAAAUAAUUUCGUAAAAAUCAUAAUGCAAUACUUUCCUUGGCAAACAAUGCCGAAAUCAAAGCAUAGUAAAAUAAAUUUCAAUUAUCGAAAUCAUUUAUUUCCUUCAUAAAUACAAUGGUCGUAUAAAAAUACACACACUCCCGAACGGUGUGGCAUGUAAAAAUAACCGAGUAUAUCCACAUUCAUCAAUUCAUGAUCAACAUAUAAAGCACUGAAAACUUUCAAUUUAAAAGGGGAGCUACAACAAAAAAAUAUUUCUCCACCAUGCAAAAGAGUGCGAGUCCAAAAAUUCUCAAGGCUCUCGAGUACGUAAUCAUAGAUAAUCAACUUGGUGGACCCUCUUCCACGUAAUAACAAUCCAAGAUCCCCCUUAUAGCAGAUUCCCACAGCCAUGGCAGUCUCGAUGAUGUUGGUCGACAUCGGAGAAAUCAAAUGGUCGCAACCACAUAUAUCAACUCGUGGCCUUGCCACGUAUAAUCACAGAUCGUGGCCUAGCCACGUCUAACAGCCCGUCGGGGAUCGAAAGGUUUUUUAUCUAGAGCUCACUUGUGCACAAGGGUCACACUAUUCUGAUGUGACAUUCGACCUACUCUCGAUGCUCUCGGUUUGUCAAAAUCAUUUUCAGAAACCAAAUCAAGGUUUUCAAGAGUUAUUCUUUAAAUCAUUUUAAAAAAAGGUUCGGCAACCUUUCAAAAUUGUUUUCCACAUUAAAAUGCAUGGUGUAAACAUUUGCAUAAAGUUCGAACUAAAACCGGCUCACAAGAAUUCAAAUUUAAGUCAUUUAUCAAGUGCAAUCAACUAUGCACAUCACAUAAAGAUACAGGGCAUGGUUUUGAUGCAAAACAUUGCAAAAGGGCUUGUUUUUCGGUUUCUCAAACACUUUACAUAUGUGUAUAUAUAUAGUAUACACAAACAACUUCCAAAUCAAUUUGCAUCCACAAUUGCCUAUCGUUUCUACCAGUUCAUGCUUCUCACAAAAGUAGUGUAUAAAUCAUAGCAAACCAUGUAUUCAAAUCACUUGUCAUUUUCUAGCAACUCAUGCUUUCCACAAAGGCAUUGGAUAAUACUAUAUAUAUACUUUGAUAUAGUAAGAAUAUUUUAAAAUUGACACCCCCUACUCACUUUUCUUGGUAGGAUAUUACUUCGUCAAUUUAAACUCUUUGCAUUUUUAAUCGAUCAAUAUCACUCGCUGUUUAACCAUUAUCCUUCUUAAUUUACACGCAUGGCAACAAUCCUUUACUUGUCAAUUUCCUGGCAACACUUAAAUCCAAAAUACUUAGCAACUUUACAAUUUAUUCUAUCCCACACUUGUUGCCCACACUUAAGCUUUUAUAGCCUAUUCUUUAUUCUCCCUUUUCAUUCAAGGACUAACCAUUAACUAAGUAGUUCAAUUCAUGCUAUAAUUAGCAUUCCUUCACAAUUAAUCUUUUGCACAUAUAUAUAUAGGUAUCAACUUUACCAAAGAAUUCUCAAGUCUUUACGUGCAUAAUUUUCUAUCCUUUACUUUUUACAAAACAUUACAUUCCCACAACAUCCAAACUCAUAACUAGUACAAGCAUUCUUUCUAACCAUACCUAAGAUAGCAUAAUCAAUUUACAUUGUAUGCUUACCUUUGGAAUGGCUUGGACUUUCAUGCACUUCAAUAUUUCCUCCAAAGCGUUUUUUCUUUAUACCUUAAUUUCCACCAUUCAACAAUGGUUUGGUGACAUGCAUGCAGCUAUUCUCUUUCAAACCUUGUAAAUCUUUACUGUCAUGAACAUUUUCACACAAUCACAAUUCAUUUCCAUAACAAAUCUAUAACCAAAAUCAAAGUUCCACUUACCAUAAAUUGGUUGGACCCGUGGAUCAUCCAUAUUCUUUUCCUCUUGAUCCAAAGCUUUUUCUUUCAUGUUUCUUGACCACUAGGAAAAAUAACUCAUAUCUCUCAACAAAGGAUGAAUUUCUGGAAGCAAUGAAGCUUGAUGAUAGGAAAAUGGCAAGAACUAAGCUCACGCAUACUAAGAGAAAAGGAGUAGCCAAACACUUUUCUCUCAACUCUUUCUCUCCUCUCGAGUGGAAGCCUCACAAGGCUAUUUCCUCUUAAUUUUUCUUCGAAAUGGGGUGGAUCUCUCAAGGCAAACACACUUUGUUUGCUUUCUUUUUGGUAUGGG